rnacentral:rRNA from 1 species
CCCUUAGAUAUCCUAGGCUGCACGCGAGCUACAAUGGUAUAUAUAAAAGGUUGCUGCUCUGAGAAGACUGGCAAUACCCUGAUAUAUAUCGUAUUUGGAAUAGAUUUUUGUAAUUAUCAAUCUUGAACGAGGAAUUCCUAGUAAAAAUAUUUCAUCAUAAUGUUUUGAUUGUGUCCCUGCCCUUUGUACACACCGCCCGUCGCUCCUACCGAUUGAAUAUUCCGGUGAGAAGAUAGGAGAAAAAUCUUUUGAUUUUUUGAAUAUUUUUGAACCUUGAUAUUUAGAGGAAGGAGAAGUCGUAACA